ensembl:lncRNA
CAAAACUGUAAACGGCCCCGGCUGACCAAUGGGAAGAAAACCCGACCGUACCAACGUGGGGUGGAUUUAAGGGGUGGUCUCUUUUAAAUAAACUAUAACGCAAAAGGCACAAAGCGUUUCAGAGUCCUUCAAACGGUCAGUUAAACAUGUCUUCUCAAUAUUGCAUCAUUUCGAAGGUUGUUUCAUAAGCGUAGAAAGCCCGGGUUUGUGUUACCGUUUGGUCGGUUGGGGGUCAUGAAUGGUGUCAACCGCGCCAACAUUGAAAGUUUCUGUGAAAGCGGACUCGAUUUGACGUCGAUAAGGCGAUUCGACCGCUGCGUGUGUCCAGAAGUUACCGCUGCGACACCCGGAGAUAAACACACACCGACCGCCCAAAAGAAGCGUGGACGCGGGUCGAAGGUCAGUUACAGACCGAAUAAUUUGAAUGAUAUUCCAUGUCCGUCCGGGCCUUGUCUCCUUUGAUUGAGAGACAUUCGGCUGGGCUAUUGCUCCAUCCUCGCAGUGAAUAAUCGGAGUGAGUGUAGCUGUCGAUGACUAAGCUGUAGAUGUCAGCGGCUGUGAUGUCACAGUCUGUGCUUAACAAUGCGACCGCCCUGAGGGACACGUCACAAACGCCAG